rnacentral:antisense_RNA from 1 species
CUUGAGGCUGCCCAGCCAGAGCGGCUGAUCGUCGGGCCGGUCCUGCCCGUAGGUGGCGAGGAUGGCCUGGGCUUC